AGUUACGUGGCCGAGAGGAAAGGCGAAGGCCGGCAAGUCCUUUUACGAAGGUUCGAUUCCUUCCGUAACUG
rnacentral:tRNA from 2 species